ensembl:lncRNA novel transcript, sense intronic to SPRED2
CUUUGUGGAACUCUUUUCAGAAGAAAAAAAGAGAGAAAGUGGGGGCCAUACUUGGCACUAGUAACGAUGCAUAUGCACUUCUGAAAAGAGGUGUCAAUGGAAUUUGGCUCAGCUGAUGUUUACUGGAUGGGCUCUCUCCUCCUUCCUUCCUUAGCCCUUCUGGUGGGAUCUUGACAUGUUACAGAGGAAAUGCUAAUUGAAGCCCCAGCCACAACCACUUCUGUGCUCUGCUUCUGCCUGAAGGAAUGAAUAAAUAGAAAAACGGGAAUGUUAUUUUCCAGUAAUUUUUUAAAUGGAUCUCAGUGGCGAAAAGUACGUUAAGUUAGCAAACGUGCCUCACAUACUGUGGAUGCCUGUAAGACUCUUACAUUCGUCUGCCUAGAUGUAUUUCAGAAGCCAAUAAAAGAUAAUCUGUGUUUGUUGAAUGAAUGAAGAAACCCAGUCUACCGUGGGUUUACCAUGUGCCAAAUGCAGAGCUACAAAAGGAAAAAUGAAAAAGAAAAGACCUAGAGAAUCUCAAGUCCAGUGGC